CGCCAUUCCGCGUGAGUGAAGAAGGCCUUCGGGUUGUAAAGCUCUUUCAGUUGGAACGAACGGUACGCGCUAAUACCGCGUGCUAAUGACGGUACCGACAGAAGAAGCACCGGCUAACUACGUGCCAGCAGCCGCGGCAAUACGUAGGGUGCGAGCGUUAAUCGGAAUUACUGGGCGUAAAGCGUGCGCAGGCGGAUUGUUAAGCAAGAUGUGAAAUCCCCGGGCUUAACCUGGGAAUGGCAUUUUGAACUGGCAGUCUAGAGUGCGUCAGAGGGGGGUGGAAUUCCACGUGUAGCAGUGAAAUGCGUAGAUAUGUGGAGGAACACCAAUGGCGAAGGCAGCCCCCUGGGAUGACACUGACGCUCAUGUACGAAAGCGUGGGUAGCAAACAGGAUUAGAUACCCUGGUAGUCCACGCCCUAAACGAUGUCAACUGGUUGUUGGGGGAGUGAAAUCCCUUAGUAACGAAGCUAACGCGUGAAGUUGACCGCCUGGGGAGUACGGUCGCAAGAUUA
rnacentral:rRNA from 1 species